rnacentral:lncRNA from 10 species
AUCCAACUCCACAUUCCUGAGUUCUCAAGGCAGGUGGGAACCAAGAUACUGGCAGGAAUGCGGAGUAGCUCAGGACGCCGGACCCUCCUCUUCUGGAGAGGAGAUGCGCGUGUGUGUGCUUGGCAGACUUUUCAUUUACAAGGUGACCUUGGAGAAGCUAUUUAACAGGUAUUCAUAUGACAAAGAAUAGAAGAAAAAGUAGAGAAAUGAAGAACAUCGUAUUUGAGAUGCCAGCCAUCCCUUGGCCUUAGUCACUGAAAAUUCUUUUAUCUAAUGUUCUGAAACCCCAGCUCUAGCCACAAGCUUUGGGGUCCCCACCCCACUCCCAGGAACCUGCUCUGCAUCCUCAUUGUCACCACAGGACUUCCACACCUGCCUCAUUCACCUGGGCCAUCAGCACCUCCCAUCUGACUAAAGGACUGGCUGCCAUCUCCCCAGUGCAUAUUUAUAUCCCCCAACAUAUGCACACACUAGAACCCCACACCCCCUUGACACUUGAUAUGGUCUGGCUCUGUGUCCCCACCCAAAUCUCAUCUCAGCAUUGUAAUCCCUACAAUCCCCAUGUGUUGAGGGCAGGACCUAGUGGGAGGUGAUUGGAUCAUGGCCGCAGUUUCCCACAUGCUGUUCUUGUGACAGUGAGUGAGUUCUCAGGAGAUCUGAUGGUUUUAUAAGGGGCUCUUUCCCUUUUACUCAUUUCUGCUCGCUCUCUCUCUCUUGCCUGCCGCCAUGUAAGAUGUGCCUCUUUCCUUUUUGCCAUGAUUGUAAGUUUCCUGAGGCCUCCCGAGUCAUUCAGAACUGAGUCAAU